rnacentral:rRNA from 1 species
GAUGAACGCUAGCUACAGGCUUAACACAUGCAAGUCGAGGGGCAGCACAGUGUAGCAAUACAUGGGUGGCGACCGGCGCACGGGUGCGUAACGCGUAUCCAACCUUCCCGUUACUCAGGGAUAGCCUUCCGAAAGGGAGAUUAAUACCUGAUGGUGUUCAAAUUCCGCAUGUUAUUUGAACUAAAGAUUUAUCGGUAACGGAUGGGGAUGCGUGACAUUAGGUAGAUGGCGGGGUAACGGCCCACCAUGCCUACGAUGUCUAGGGGGUUCUGAGAGGAAGGUCCCCCCACACUGGAACUGAGACACGGUCCAGACUCCUACGGGAGCAGCAGUGAGGAAUAUUGGUCAAUGGCCGGAAGGCUGAACCAGCCAAGUAGCGUGAAGGAUGAAGGUUCUAUGGAUUGUAAACUUCUUUUAUACGGGAAUAAAACCACCUAACGUGUAGGUGCUUGUAUGUACCGUAUGAUAAGCAUCGGCUAACUCCGUG